UUCGACCUCAAAUCAGGUAGGACUACCCGCUGAACUUAAGCAUAUCAAUAAGCGGAGGAAAAGAAACCAACAGGGAUUGCCUUAGUAGCGGCGAGUGAAGCGGCAAAAGCUCAAAUUUGAAAUCUGGCACUUUCAGUGUCCGAGUUGUAAUUUGAAGAAGGUAUCUUUGGGUCUGGCUCUUGUUAGUUUCUUGGAA
rnacentral:rRNA from 1 species